UACGGAGGGUGCAAGCGUUAUCCGGAUUCACUGGGUUUAAAGGGUGCGUAGGCGGUUUUGUAAGCCAGAUGUGAAAUCCCCGGGCUCAACCUGGGAAUGGCAUUUGGGACUGCAAGGCUCGAGUGCGGCAGAGGAGACUGGAAUUCCUGGUGUAGCAGUGAAAUGCGUAGAUAUCAGGAGGAAUACCGAUGGCGAAGGCAGGUCUCUGGGCUGACACUGACGCUCAUGCACGAAAGCGUGGGGAGCAAACAGG
rnacentral:rRNA from 1 species